GCUGGGCAUGGUGGCACGUGCCUGUAAUCCCAGCUACCUGGGAGGCUGAGGCAGGCAGGAGGAUCUCUUAAGUCCAGGAGUUCUGGGCUGUAGCACACUAUGCCAAUUGGGUGUCUGCACUGAGUUCAGCAUCAACAUGGUGACCUCCUGGGAGUGGGGGGCCACCAGGUUGCCUAAGGAGAGGUGAACCGGCCCAGGAUGGAAACAGCAUGCUUUUGUUUUUCCCCCAGAUACUACUCUUUCUAAAGCAAAAGUGGCAGACUCACACUGGGUCUAAUCUAUCUCUCUCUCUCUCAC
rnacentral:SRP_RNA from 1 species